rnacentral:rRNA from 1 species
UUUAAUUAAGAGUUUGAUCCUGGCUCAGGACGAACGCUGGCGGCACGCUUAACACAUGCAAGUCGAACGAGAGAAGAGAAGCUUGCUUUUCUGAUCUAGUGGCGGACGGGUGAGUAACACGUGAGCAAUCUGCCUUUCAGAGGGGGAUACCGAUUGGAAACGAUCGUUAAUACCGCAUAACAUAAUUGAACCGCAUGAUUUGAUUAUCAAAGAUUUAUCGCUGAAAGAUGAGCUCGCGUCUGAUUAGCUAGUUGGUAAGGUAACGGCUUACCAAGGCGACGAUCAGUAGCCGGACUGAGAGGUUGAUCGGCCACAUUGGGACUGAGACACGGCCCAGACUCCUACGGGAGGCAGCAGUGGGGAAUAUUGCACAAUGGAGGAAACUCUGAUGCAGCGAUGCCGCGUGAGGGAAGAAGGUUUUAGGAUUGUAAACCUCUGUCUUCAGGGACGAAAAAAGACGGUACCUGAGGAGGAAGCUCCGGCUAACUACGUGCCAGCAGCCGCGGUAAUACGUAGGGAGCGAGCGUUGUCCGGAAUUACUGGGUGUAAAGGGAGCGUAGGCGGGAUCGCAAGUCAGAUGUGAAAACUAUGGGCUUAACCCAUAAACUGCAUUUGAAACUGUGGUUCUUGAGUGAAGUAGAGGUAAGCGGAAUUCCUAGUGUAGCGGUGAAAUGCGUAGAUAUUAGGAGGAACAUCAGUGGCGAAGGCGGCUUACUGGGCUUUAACUGACGCUGAGGCUCGAAAGCGUGGGGAGCAAACAGGAUUAGAUACCCUGGUAGUCCACGCCGUAAACGAUGAUUACUAGGUGUGGGGGGACUGACCCCUUCCGUGCCGCAGCAAACGCAAUAAGUAAUCCACCUGGGGAGUACGACCGCAAGGUUGAAACUCAAAGGAAUUGACGGGGGCCCGCACAAGCAGUGGAGUAUGUGGAUUAAUUCGAAGCAACGCGAAGAACCUUACCAGGUCUUGACAUCGUAUGCAUAGCUCAGAGAUGAGUGAAAUCUCUUCGGAGACAUAUAGACAGGUGGUGCAUGGUUGUCGUCAGCUCGUGUCGUGAGAUGUUGGGUUAAGUCCCGCAACGAGCGCAACCCUUACUGUUAGUUGCUACGCAAGAGCACUCUAGCAGGACUGCCGUUGACAAAACGGAGGAAGGUGGGGAUGACGUCAAAUCAUCAUGCCCCUUAUGACCUGGGCCUCACACGUACUACAAUGGCUGUAAACAGAGGGAUGCAAAGCCGCGAGGUGGAGCGAACCCCUAAAAGCAGUCUUAGUUCGGAUUGUAGGCUGCAACCCGCCUACAUGAAGUCGGAAUUGCUAGUAAUCGCAGAUCAGCAUGCUGCGGUGAAUACGUUCCCGGGCCUUGUACACACCGCCCGUCACGCCAUGGGAGUCGGUAACACCCGAAGCCUGUAGUCUAACCGCAAGGAGGACGCAGUCGAAGGUGGGAUUGAUGACUGGGGUGAAGUCGUAACAAGGUAGCCGUAUCGGAAGGUGCGGCUGGAUCACCUCCUUUCUA